AUGGGACGGCCCGCUGGGCUGUUCCCGCCCCUAUGCCCUUUUUUGGGUUUCCGGCCAGAGGCAUGCUGGGAGCGUCACAUGCAAAUUGAGCGUGCACCCAGCGUUCCGCCCUUUCUACGCUGGGCCGGUUAUCGACCCGGCCCAGUGCGCAGGCGCGGGAAAGUUGAACUAAUAAAGUUUGUACGAGUUCAGUGGAGGAGACCGCAAGUUGAGUGGAGGAGGCGGCGGUGGGGCCCCGGACCAGGUCAGCGGGGUGUUGACGAGGGGUGGGGUGAGGAGGGAAGAGGAGGGGGCCGGGAUCCAGUGGUGGGCACCCCAGUCCCGCUUCUCUGAUAUCCAAGGGUCCAGGGUCCUCUAGAUUCCAGCAGGGGUCGGAGAUUUGGAACUACACCUCACAGCAGGCUGCGCGGCGAAGAAGCGCGGACCUAGGGGAAGAUUUGCCCUGAAACCUCUUGGGAUUGGUAGUUCCCGAUGCUUUAAGGGUUUCAGGAGUUUGGCAUAUGCCUCUUAUAGAAUCCAGGAGUUGGGGCGCUAAGCCUCUUCUUCCUGGGAGACCUAAGGGUCUGGGGCUCCAGUUCCUUUUUCUCUAAGACUCAGAAGUCCAGGACCCCAGCUCCCUCCUCCUUUAGACCCACGAAUCUGGGCACCCAGCCCCACCACCUUUCCUUGGAUCGAAGAGUCUUUUUCCUGAUCGCUUUUUCGUCUGAGGACUCAAGAGUCUAGGCCCCCAGACCCACACUCUCCAAAGGACCCAGGAGUCCAGGCCCUCAGCACCUUCCUUGGGACUCACAAGUCCUGGUCCCCAAGCCUCCACUUCUUGCUAAACCCUUGGAGUCCAGUCCCUAACCCUCUCUCUCACAGGUGCCUCCAUGGCAGGCUCUGAAGAGCUGGGGCUCCGGGAAGACACGCUGAGGGUCCUAGCUGCCUUCCUUAGGCGUGGUGAGGCUGCCGGGUCUCCUGUUCCAACUCCACCUAGGUAAGAGGAGUGGCCCUUCUCCCCCAGGGGCCAGCAUUUGAGGCUCCCUCCUAACUCUUGCUCCUGGUCUCAGUCUGUCUCCUCUCUUUAUAUCUGGCUCUAUUCUCUGUCUUUGGGGUUUUGGAGAGAGGUCCUCAGCGGGGGAGGGAGGGAGUUGGGGAAAGAGACUGCUUGCAGGGGAUCUCUGGUGGGGUCAGUCUCUGAAGUCCUCCUCUCCAGAAGCCCUGCCCAAGAAGAGCCAACAGACUUCCUGAGCCGCCUUCGAAGAUGUCUUCCCUGCUCCCUGGGGCGAGGAGCAGCCCCCUCUGAGUCCCCUCGGCCUUGCUCUCUGCCCAUCCGCCCCUGCUAUGGUUUAGAGCCUGGUAAGAGAUUUCCAUGAUCAUCUAUGAAGCCGGCAGAACACGGGAUAAGGCCCAGCUACUCCAGACUUCUAUGCUUUGGUGGCCCAGCGGCUGGAACAGCUGGUCCAAGAGCAGCUGAAAUCUCCGCCCAGCCCAGAAUUACAGGGUCCCCCAUCGACAGAGAAGGAAGCCAUACUGCGGAGGCUGGUGGCCCUGCUGGAGGAGGAGGCAGAAGUCAUUAACCAGAAGGUGAUGGGCAUCUGUCCCACUCCUUGGCAAGGACAGGAGUUGCGGAAUGGAGGGCAUCCUGGCUGUUUCACCCGUGGACUUGAACUUGCCAUUGGACUGAGCUCUUUCUCAGAAGCUGCUACAAGAUGACACCUCAUGUCCCUGCCCUCUUCGUGUGCUUUUCCAAGUCUUCCUAUUCCACUCAGGGCUGUGGGGUGGUGGUUGCCCUACCUGUUUUUGCCAAAAAUAAAUUGUUUAAAACUUUUCUUAUUAAAAACGUUACAAAGUA
rnacentral:misc_RNA from 1 species